rnacentral:rRNA from 1 species
GGGUGCGAUCGUACCAGCACUAAAGCACCGAUCCCAUCAGAACUCUGCAGUUAAGCGUGCUCGGGCGAGAGUAGUACUGGCUUGGGUGACCCGCAAUUUCUUUUCCUUCUUA